rnacentral:rRNA from 1 species
AGCAUGCCUCUAGGGGACUGGGCCACCUCUCCCACGGUGUAACUGCUCUCCUACCCCCUCCCUGCCCCAAGCGAGUAGGCUGCAUGGGAGGGUCUGGGACUCACUGUGAUGUGCUCCAGGCGGGUUGUGCUGUCGGGCCUGGGGGGUCUCUUCGGCCAGGCACUCAUUUCAAAAGAACAGUGGAACUAGUGCACAAGGUAGGUGGUGCUGUCGGUUUCCCACAAGACCCAUCUUGAAACACGGUCCAAGGGGUCUAACACGUGUGCGAGUCAGGGGCUCGCAUGAAAGCCAUUGUGGCGCAAUGAAGAUGAAGGCUGAUCUGCUCGCUGGCUGAGGUGGGAUNNNNNNNNNNNNNNNNNNNNNNNNNNNNNNNNNNNNNNNNNNNNNCAGGCGGGUUGUGCUGUCGGGCCUGGGGGGUCUCUUCGGCCAGGCACUCAUUUCAAAAGAACAGUGGAACUAGUGCACAAGGUAGGUGGUGCUGUCGGUUUCCCACAAGACCCAUCUUGAAACACGGUCCAAGGGGUCUAACACGUGUGCGAGUCAGGGGCUCGCAUGAAAGCCAUUGUGGCGCAAUGAAGAUGAAGGCUGAUCUGCUCGCUGGCUGAGGUGGGAUCCUGAGGCCUCUCCAGUUUGCCAAGGGUGCACCACCUUCUGCUUUCGCCCACUGCGCUGGGCAGGUGGAGCAUGAAUGCAUGUGUUAGGCACCAAAAGAUGAUAAACUAUGCCUGGGCAGGGCGAAGCCAGAGGAAACUCUCGUGGGGGUCUGUAGUGGUCCUGACAUGCAAGUCGGUCGUCUGAUCUGGGUAUAGGGGCAAAAGACUAAUGGAACUAUCUAGUAGCUGGUUCCCUCUGAAGUUUUCCUAAGGAUAGCUAGUGCUCUCGCAAAAACCCCAUGCCACGCAGUUAUUUGGUAAAGCGAAUGAUUUGGGGUCUUGGAGUCGAAAUGAUCUCAACCAAUUCUCAAACUYAAAUGGGUUAGAAGACCAGCUCGAUGGUGUGGAGCCAGAUACGGAAUGUGAGUGCCUAGUGGGCAACUUUUGGUAAGCAGAACUGGUGCUGUGGGAUGAACGAAAUGCCAUGUUAAGGUGCCUGAUUCUGAUGCCCAUUAGACCCCAGAAAAUGUGCUGGUUGAUAUAGACAGCAGGACGGUGGGCAUGGAAGUCAGAAUCCGCUAAGGAGUGUUUAACAACAACAAAUCAACUAGCCCUGAAAAAUGGAUGGUACUGAAACAUUGGGCCCAUACCCGGCUGUUGCCAGCAGUUGAGAGUGGAUGGGAGUGGUGAGGGUGGUCACCCCCGCUGGAGCCCUGUGGAUGCUGGGAGGGCUGCUGCGGUGAGCCCUGAAGCCUUGGACGUGAGCCUGGGUGGAGCUGCUCCAGAUGCAGAUCUUGGUGGUAGUAGCAAAUAUUAAAAUGAGAACUUUGAAGGCCGAAGUGGAGAAGGGUUCCAGUUGAACGUGGGUCACUUGCUCCUGAGACAUGGGCAAGUACCAUUCCGAAGGGAUGGAUGAUGACUUCCAUUGCCCCCGGCUGAUGGAAAGGGAGUCAAGUUCAGAUUUCUGAAUCCGGAGUGACAGAGAUGGGCGCUAUGAGGCAUUCAGGGAGGUAAUGGAACUGAUUCUGGAGAAACUGGUGGGAGCCCAGGGGAGAGCUCUUUUUGUGAAGAGCAGGGCGCCCUGUAAUGGAUUCACCCUUAGACAGGGGCCUGUGCCUUGGAAAGAAUCACAGUUCAAGUGGCAUCUGGUGAGCUCUCACAGGCCCUUGAAAAUCUAGGAGAGAGGGUGUAAAUCUCACACUGGGCUGUAACCAUAUCCACAGCAGGUCUCCAAGGUAAACAACCUCUGGCAUGUUAGAACAACAUAGGUAAGGGAAAUCAGCAAGCUAGAUCAGUAACCUCAGGGUAAGAAUUUGCUCUAAGAGCUUUGCCAGUCCAGCUGCGGCUUGAAGCGNNNNNNNNNNCAGGCAUUGGUUGGAUGUGUGCUGGUACUCCACGCCCCAACGCUAGCAGCACCCCUCUGCAGACAUCCCCCAGCCCACCUCGCCAUACCUUCCUCUUCACUAUCCCUCCCUACCUCACUAUUGCUGGUUCCUAGCGGCCCAUUUAGAAAUGAUGCAGACCACGGGAAUCUGACUAUAUAAAACAAAGCAUGGUGAAGGCCCGUGGUGGGUGUUGACACAAUGUCAAUUCUACCCAGUGCUCUGAAUGUCAAAGUGAAGAAAUUCAAUGAAGCACGAGUAAAUGGCGGGAGUAACUAUGUCUCUCUUAAGUGUAGCCAAAUGCCUCAUCAUCUAAUUAGUGAUGCACAUGAAUGGAUGGGCAAGAUUCCCACUGUUCUUACCUGCUAUCCAGCGAAACCACAGCCAAAGGAAUGGGCUUGACAGAAUCAGCAGGGAACGAAGACCCUAUUGAGACUGACUCUAGUCUGGCACGGUGAAGAGACAUGAGAGGUGUAGAAUAAGUGAAAGACCCCUGCACCCCUCUGUUUCUCUGAGGAGAUGGGGUGAGGUCCACUGACCUUGUGGGCUGCCAGUGAAAUCCCACUACCCUGAUCAUUUUUUCACUGACCUGGUGAAGUUGGGGCUGGGUAGGUGAGCCACAAGGGGCCCACACUUUUGGCACCAAGCACCUGGCCACAUGCUGGCUGGAUGUUAACUGCUCCAGGAAUAGUGCCAGGUGCAGAGUUGAACUGGUGCUGCACACCUGUCAAANGGUAAUGCAGGUGUCUGAAGGUGAGUGCAGGGAGUACCAAAACCUCCCAUGGAGCAGAAGGGCAGAACUUGCUUGAUCUUGAUUUUCAGUACGAAAGCAGGGCCUCAUGAUCCUUUUGAUGUUUUGUUUGGGUUUUAAGCAGGACGUGUCAGAGAAGACACCACAGGGAUAACUGCCUUGUAGUGGCCAAGAGUUCAUAGCAACAUUGCUUUUUGAUCCUUUGGUGCUGGAUCUUCCUAUUGUGAAGCAGAAUUCACCAAGCAUUGGAUGGUUCACCCAGUAACAAGGAACCUGAGCUUAGUUUAGAACAUCAUGAGACAGGUUAGUUUUACACAACAGUCUUUUAAACAAGGGUCUUCCCAUCUCAGUCUCACGAGUACCUGGGACUACUGGGACCUUCUUCUUCUGUAUUUUUUCUAACCACCAUUU